GAUGAACGCUGGCGGCGUGCUUAACACAUGCAAGUCGAACGAGAAAUGGAGACGGAACCCUUCGGGCGGAAGGCUUCAUUUCGAGUGGCGGACGGGUGAGUAACGCGUGGGUAACCUGCCUCAUACAGGGGGAUAACAGUUGGAAACGACUGUUAAUACCGCAUAAGACCACAGCACCGCAUGGUGCGGGGGUAAAAACUCCGGUGGUAUGAGAUGGACCCGCGUUCGAUUAGCCAGUUGGCGGGGUAACGGCCCACCAAAGCGACGAUCGAUAGCCGAUCUGAGAGGAUGACCGGCCACAUUGGGACUGAGACACGGCCCAAACUCCUACGGGAGGCAGCAGUGGGGAAUAGUGCACAAUGGGGGAAACCCUGAUGCAGCGACGCCGCGUGAGUGAAGAAGUACUUCGGUAUGUAAAGCUCUAUCAGCAGGGAAGAAAAUGACGGUACCUGAGUAAGAAGCCCCGGCUAACUACGUG
rnacentral:rRNA from 1 species